rnacentral:rRNA from 1 species
UACGUAGGGUGCGAGCGUUGUCCGGAAUUAUUGGGCGUAAAGAGCUCGUAGGCGGUCUGUCGCGUCGAUCGUGAAAACUUGGGGCUUAACCCCUGAGCUUGCGGUCGAUACGGGCAUGACUGGAGUUCGGCAGGGGAGACUGGAAUUCCUGGUGUAGCGGUGAAAUGCGUAGAUAUCGGGGAGGAACACCAGUGGCGAAGGCGGCUCUCUGGGACGGUACGUGACGCUGAGACGCGAAAGCGUGGGGAGCGAACAGG